UACGUAGGGUGCGAGCGUUGUCCGGAAUUAUUGGGCGUAAAGAGCUUGUAGGCGGUCUGUCGCGUCUGCUGUGAAAAUCCGGGGCUCAACCCCGGACUUGCAGUGGGUACGGGCAGACUAGAGUGUGGUAGGGGAGACUGGAAUUCCUGGUGUAGCGGUGAAAUGCGCAGAUAUCAGGAGGAACACCGAUGGCGAAGGCAGGUCUCUGGGCCAUUACUGACACUGAGAAGCGAAAGCAUGGGGAGCGAACAGG
rnacentral:rRNA from 1 species